GCCGGCGUCCUCCCCUGCGGCCUCGCGCCCGCUCAGUCUCGCCGCGGACCCCGCCUCCGGGAAGGCGCCCGGCGUUCCCCUUUCCGCCUCCGACAUCCUGGCGGGGAACGCCGAGGAGCGACGUCCCGCGUUACCCUUACACAGGGUCGCCAUCUAGUGACAGCAGGAUAUACAGCUGCGUGCAGACGUGAAGCCGGCCGCCGGUACAAGUUUGGAAGGUUCUGAGGAAGGCGAGCCUGGGCCACAUCUGAGGAGGGCCUCGUGUGAACAGUAGCCUGGUCUUCGAAAGGAGAGGCCGGCGGCGCCAGUGAGGUUAGCUCCGAGAGCCCGCACUCGGCAGAAGACCUGUCUGCAAGGGGGUGUGGCUUAGCAAAGCCCACUCUGUGUCGGGAGCGGGGAACGGUGUGCCGGGAGACAGGGGCACCGGAGGGACCUCCACCAGCUCCGGACAGGCCUGCCCUCCCGGAGCGUCAGCUCCAGAAGACAGGGCAGGGGAGGACAGAACUCCUAGGUUCCUGGAAAGGCCUCCGGGAGAGCCCGCUCUCAAACUUGCUGCAGCACGGACCCAAGGAACAAGCGCAGUCUGCGGCACACAUCCAGAUUGGCUUCGUGGAGGGAGGUUGUUACGGGACAGAGUACCGGGUCCAAACUCAGGUUGGGCUGCUCGCUGCUGGAAAAUCAGUCCUCGAGAGACAAGUGAUGAUGGGAAAGGAAAGAAUCCUUUAGGUGCAAAGACACACCUCUAGACUGAAAGGUCGGUAGAGUCCCAGUGGACAAAGAUUAAGGAGGCCCCAAAGGCUGCUGCAAGAAAGUACUACAGCCUCGGUGGCCUGGACUACAGAAAUGUACCAUCUCACAUGUCUGCAGGCGAGAAGUCCAAGAUCCACCAGUCAUCAGGACUGGCCCCUUCUGAGGGCUCUCGGGGAGAACCUGCUCCGGGCCUUUCUCCCAGCUUCCAGUGCUUUGCUGGCGAUCUCUGGUGGGUUUUGGCAUGUAGACACAUCCCACCCAUCUGCCUUUAUGUUCACAUGACAUUCUCCCAGGAUGCAUGUCUGUGUCCAGAUCUCCCCUUUUCGUAAUUACCCAGUUAUACUGGAUGAGGGCCACCCCCCCCAUGGCCUCACCUUGACGAAUGACAUCUCCAGAGAAGGUCACAUUCUGAGGUGCUGGGGGACGAAUUUGGGAGGACACAAUUCAACUGAGGCCCUUAAGAACCUGAAACAAGACGGCAGUAAAUCCCUCAUCUUCUACCCGCUGCCGUGGUGACAUGAAAAGGGAUGUGGGAGGGAGGGGACGUUCAGCUCAUAAAAUACGCAAGAAAGUUUUUCUUUCUGCAUCAGGUUUGUAUCAGGAUUGUGUUCUUAUCCCCCGGUAAACAAUAAAAUCUCCAAGCCAGACAA